CCUACGGGUGGCAGCAGUGGGGAAUAUUGCGCAAUGGGCGAAAGCCUGACGCAGCGACGCCGCGUGAGGGAUGAAGGUCUUCGGAUCGUAAACCUCUGUCAGCAGGGAAGAACGGUCACUGUGCUAAUCAGCAGUGAAUUGACGGUACCUGCGAAGGAAGCACCGGCUAACUCCGUGCCAGCAGCCGCGGUAAUACGGAGGGUGCGCGCGUUAAUCGGAAUUACUGGGCGUAAAGCGCUCGUAGGCGGUAUGUCAAGUCAAGGGUGAAAUCCCCGCGCUCAACGUGGGAACUGCCUUUGAAACUGGUAAACUGGAGUGUGUGAGAGGAUAGUGGAAUUCCAGGUGUAGGAGUGAAAUCCGUAGAUAUCUGGAGGAACAUCAGUGGCGAAGGCGACUAUCUGGAACAUAACUGACGCUGAGGAGCGAAAGCGUGGGUAGCAAACAGGAUUAGAUACCCUGGUAGUC
rnacentral:rRNA from 1 species